rnacentral:lncRNA from 1 species
GACAGCACUGUUGACUUUAAAAACUAACCAUAUUUCAGGAUCUUCUGACCUAAAAUGCGAGGAACUGAAUCGAGAACCAUUUCUGUGAAGGUUCCUUCUGCAUACUGAAAAACGAGGUUGACAUUGAAGCAAAUGUGAUGAAGCUGAAAGAUGUUAGGUGCAUCUGAUACGUAAUAUCUGUGUAAUAUCUCUUUGUUAUCUUUUGGC